rnacentral:Y_RNA from 1 species
GUGACGGAUGCCGGAUGGAACUACAGACUCCUUAUCUCCAGGUCGCGGGUUCGAAUCCCGCCGGGGCCGCAACCUUGUGGUCCUGUAGCUCAGCGGUAGAGCAGGCGUUCCUCCACCCCUAGCCGUCACGGG